AUCUAGCUGACGAUCUCUAAAUAGGACGAAACGCGCGUCCUGUAU
rnacentral:hammerhead_ribozyme from 1 species